AUGUUUUGUGCUGCUCUCUUCCUGCUCCUUGUAUCUGCAAGUGUCACGUGUGAACAGCUGACACAGCCAGCUUCUAUGACUGUGCAGCCAGGUCAAAGUCUGACCAUCAGCUGUCAGGUCUCUUAUUCUGUUAGUGGCUACUACACAGCUUGGAUCAGACAGCCUGCAGGAAAAGGACUGGAGUGGAUUGGUCAGGCAGCUGGAUCUACAACCUACUACAAAGAUUCACUCAGAAACAAAUUCAGCAUUUCUACAGACUCCUCCAGAAGCACAGUGACUCUGAAUGGACAGAAUGUGCAGCCUGGAGACUCUGCUGUGUAUUACUGUGCCAGAGACCCACAGUGACACAAAGAAGAGGAAGAGCUGUACAAAA